UGGGGAAUCUUGGACAAUGGGGGCAACCCUGAUCCAGCCAUGCCGCGUGAGUGAUGAAGGCCUUAGGGUCGUAAAGCUCUUUCGCCUGUGAAGAUAAUGACGGUAGCAGGUAAAGAAACCCCGGCUAACUCCGUGCCAGCAGCCGCGGUAAUACGGAGGGGGUUAGCGUUGUUCGGAAUUACUGGGCGUAAAGCGCACGUAGGCGGACCAGAAAGUUGGGGGUGAAAUCCCGGGGGCUCAACCCCGGAACUGCCUCCAAAACUAUUGGUCUAGAGUUCGAGAGAGGUGAGUGGAAUUCCAAGUGUAGAGGUGAAAUUCGUAGAUAUUUGGAGGAACACCAGUGGCGAAGGCGGCUCACUGGCUCGAUACUGACGCUGAGGUGCGAAAGUGUGGGGAGCAAACAGGAGUUAGAUACCCUGGUAGUCCACACCGUAAAACGAUGAAUGCCAGUCGUCGGGUAGCAUGCUAUUCGGUGACACA
rnacentral:rRNA from 1 species